AUAAUAAUGUCUUUGCUUGAAGAAUUGUAGGCUCAAAACAGUUUAAAACAACUACACCUUGGAAUGUGAGAACAUAAUCCCGACCUUAUUUUUAUACGUUGUUUGCAUUGAGAUUAAAUGUAAAUAUUUGUUGAAUUGACAAGAAUUAUUUGGUUUGUAUUACCUUUUUACAGUAACUGAAUACAAAUGAUAAAAUUAUGUAGUCAAUCAACAUUCGUAUUUCCUACAUUCAAUGUAAAUACUGUAAAAUACAAAAACAUUUUGAAUUUUUCCCCAUGCAAGAGGUAUAGUAUAGAUGGACACCACAUAUUUUCUCAUAAAAUAUAGUAUAAAACUAUAAAUUUUAGCAAAAAAAAUGUAAAAAUAUCCAACAACAAUUUAAAUUUAUGUGUACUAAAAAAUGAAAAAAUCUAAAAUAAAUAAAUGUAUCGCAUAUAAAAUUUUGGGUUGAAAAUUACCCUUAAAACACAAUUUAAAAACUGAACAUAACAGAUUAGAUAUGUUAUAUUAGGACUAUAACUAUAUUAGGACUUACAGCAUUCAAGCUAGAAGAUUCAGGGUGUGAAGCA